CCCAAUGCGAUGGCUGGAACUGCUUCUCUUUGGUGAGGCGUGUGAUGUUAGCUGGUAUUGAUGAUGUUGCUACUCGCAAGUGCUUUUCCAGGUUUACGUCGGUCAUUCUGGAGCGCAGUCAACUCUUGGCGAUGUUUUUGCGAGGAUUGUUGAUCGUGGACGUGUGGAUAAAAGUUGGAUUGGAGUUAUCGUCUGUGUCGACAAAGAAGUCGACAACAUCGUCGUCAAUCAGCGGAGGCAAGGUCAUCAACGUCGCGAGGAAUCAUCUCAUUGCAUCUCGUCUCAUCAUCACCGGAUCGCCAUAGUUUCGCCACAGUGUGUUAACACUUUCGCAACGUGUACACUCCCAGCCUGCCUGGCACUGACCGUCCUCUGAGUCACCGCAAUACAGGCAGACGGGCUGCGGGCAGCCGACGAGAAGCAUGCGUGUCUGUCCCGUCAUGUACUCAUAUGUGUCCUGUCUAUCCCGUAAUGGACGUUCCUUGCUUGUCCCUCAAAAUGUACGUUAUUAUUAUGAUUCACUUAAUAUAAAUUUACAUUACUAUGAAAAAA